GGCCGGGUGGGGGGCUCCGGCCGGGGCAUCGGGCAUUGGCGGCCCGGAGCGGAGUUCUGGGCCCUGCGCCCCGUCCCGGGAGGGCCUGGCUGCUCGGGGACGCCGCGUGACCCCGAGGCCCGGCUCGGGCGCUGACAGCCCGGCGCGCGGAGCGGUGGCGGCGGGGUGGUCGCCGGCCGGGGGCGCUGAAGGUCAGGCGCGGGGCGCGGCGGGGCGCGGCCUGGGCCCGAGCCUGCGCGGAGGUGGGCGCCCGGGGCCAAACUUUCUGAAGUUGGGAGGGGGCGGAGGCGUGGGGCCCGGGGACCCCGGGAGCCCGCGCCUGGCUGUGCGGGGAGGCGGCGACCGGCGGGGAAGUGGAGCAGGGCGGUGAAAUUGGCCAGUGACGGAGUGCGCCGGAGUGAGGGAGCGGUGGUGACCCCGGGUGAACGCCGUGGCGUCUUCGAGGUGUGGCUUUCUCGGCCGGGGGCCUGGGAGGGAGAAGCGCCGAGGAGUUGGCCUCGGGACGGUCAGGAUCCGAGAGGAGUCCAGCGGCCGGUUCGGCGGAGCCCGGGUCCCUGCCCGAGGCUCUUCCGCACCCCUGGUCGCUGCACCUUCACCCGGAGGCCCAGAGCAUCAGUCCGUGGCCAGCAAGGGGCCGGCGGGGGAGGCCAGAGGGCAGCGUCCCCGCCCCUGCACCCUUGUUUUGGUGCCCCUGUCAGUUCCGGUCAGACGUUCCGCUUGCCAGGGCCUCUUGGGCUUCUCUACUUGACAAGGUGAAGGCCGGGGUGCCCCUGUCCCUCUCCUCCCUGCGUCCCCGCCGUCUGGAAGGCCUGGGAGGAGACCAGACAAAAAGCUGCCCUCGUCUUUUGGGGGGAGCUGAGAAGCUGGGACAGUGAGGGGCGCAGGAAGAGACCACAACCCUAAAAGGAGCUGGGGCAAAGGGGAUGCGCUUGUUCUGCUGUUCUUUGGGCAUCAAGAAGUAGGAGGAAGAGGAGGAGGGAGUUUAAGGUCUGGUGCAGGAAGUGGCUUUGAGGGCCAUGGGACGUCCUAGGCUGGAGCUGAGGAGCCCAGUGGCCCCGGGAGGGAGUGAGCACAGGGCGUGACCACCCAUACAAGGCACCUGAGCCUUCUCAGGACAGGUGGCCCUGGGACCUAGGCUCCGGUCUCAGAGCUUCCACACGGGUUGCAGUCCGUGAACAUCUGCCCACAGCCUAGGGUGCAGAGGUUGGGAACCUGGGGGGUGCAGAGAUUGGGAACCUGGGGGUUCCUGGCUGAAGCUCACUGAGGAUCCCCAGUCUGGGGCUGAGAAAGCGCCCCAGGGACCUCGAGGUUGUGCAGUGUAGACUACCAUCUGUUCUGUGCCCCACACGGCCGUCCCCUCAGCCUCAGGUGGGCAGGCAGUGCUGAAGUGGCACCGCCAUUGUCACCCUUCUGUCCCAGCUCUGCUGCUCAGCAAAACGCCAGACCAGCGAGCCACCACUCCAGUAUCCCUUGUGACAGGGUCAGCCAGCUUCUGCUGCAGUGCAGGCCACCACCUCGCCCGCCUCUUCCCACAUCCUGUGCCCUACCACAGCCAGCCUGGCCCCGUGCCCUGCCCUCCUGACUGGCUUCCUCACUUGCGGACACCUGCCUCCACUCCGGGAGCCCACAGCUCCCUGCCCUCUCUGCCCUGCUGCUCUCGGGGAUGUCUCUCACCUUGCUGAGUGGCUGGUCAGAUGUCACCAGCUCCUCACGACUGCCUGGCUCAGGGUGCCCUCUCCAAAGUGGGUAUAGAAUAAGAUCUGCUGCCUCCUCACGGCUGGAGACAGACACCCCAGCUCGCAUGGUACACCUCUUGGGACUGCAGAGGGCGGGCUGGCUGUGGGGCCUGGGCCCAGAUGCCAGGCCUGCAGGAGGGGCGCAGGAGAUGACUCCGCCCACCAGAGCCUGAGAUGUCCAAGUGUCUCAGGGCACCACUGUCCCUCGACUUCACAUUCCUUUUCCUCCUCUCCUCCAAGUAAUCAUAAUAAUAGGGGGACAACCCAUUGGGACCCCUCCUGUCCCUCAGAACUGUUCCUAUUCCCCAUUCCUAGUCUCCAGUAAACUUUCCUACCCCUAAAAAUAAAUAAAA